GUAUCCCCCAUGAAGUGGCGCUGAAAGAUCACGUUAGCACAGUCAUAUGAUGUGAAAUACCACAAGUCUGCAAUUUUUUGGUCUUGAGAGCCGUUGCUGGGCUAAGAGGAUGGAAAUCUUUCAGUAAUUAUACCAGUUUGUAUUCGUCUCACAUUUGGGACCAAAUACAAAUCCAAUCCACUCCUUCUCCCUGUGAAUAUUCAUAAAAAACAAAGUGCCAAUUCUGGGCUAAUCAUGUAUGGAACCAAAUAUGUUGAUGAGCCCUAAGUAUAUACUGUAUGUAUGUAUACAUAUGAAUGUAUAUAUUUAUACACAUUAAUUUUGCUUGUGUCCUCUGCUAUGCAAUUUGUUUGUUUAGUAUAGGGCUUGCUGUUAUAAUGUGUUAAUAAGCUGCUGAAAGCUUGGCACCUAUUACUUGAAAUGACAGCUAUGUUAGAAGCCUAUUAACACAGCUCUGCAGCUACUAGAAAUGAAUUUCAAAGAUGGUAAAUGAACAAAAGCGAUUCAUAUCUCUAAGAAAAGCAAACACUGUGCCCAGAACCAUAUACACUUUGAAAAGGUACAGUAUAUAAAACCUCUUUAACUCCCCCACUUAAAGAAACAGCGGAAGGGAACGUUUGGAGAAAGGAAAACUGCCUCUAAGAUUUCCAAACAACCUUGAAGACAUAAAUGUAAAGGAUACCACGCACAACUUCCUCUCUUUGUUUCUAUUGUGUUCUGAUGAGAACUGGGUUGGACAUAGGAAUAGAACAGUGCAGGUAGAGGAAAUUCUCUUUUCUCACCGUGAAAAAAAAAAAAAACAAUUAAAUCAUCUGGAUUUAGCUGAAACGUUUUUGUCCGUCUCUGGGUUUAAAAGGCCAGUGUCUGGCAUUGUUCUUGAAGCCAGGAUUUCUAUGAGUUGCUUGGCUCUGCCUUUGAACUGUUUUCCUUUCCUUUGACUGUCAUUGAAAGUUCACAAGAUGUCUCAAAGGUCUGGGUGAACUUUAGUUGUGAUUAUUAAAAUAAAGUGUGUUUAAGAAUA
rnacentral:lncRNA from 1 species